rnacentral:misc_RNA from 1 species
GAUGAAGAACGUAGCGAAAUGCGAUAAGUAAUGUGAAUUGCAGAAUUCAGUGAAUCAUCGAGUCUUUGAACGCACAUUGCGCCCCCUGGUAUUCCGGGGGGCAUGCCUGUCCGAGUGUCAUUGCCGCCCUCAAGCACGGCUUGUGUGUUGGGCCCCCGCCCCCCGGCUUCGGGGGGCGGGCCCGAAAGGCAGCGGCGGCACCGCGUCCGGUCCUCGAGCGUAUGGGGCUUCGUCACCCGCUCUGUAGGCCCGGCCGGCGCCCGCCGGCGACCCCAAUCAAUCUUUCCAGGUUGACCUCGGAUCAGGUAGGGAUACCCGCUGAACUUAAGCAUAUCAAUAAGCGGAGGA